UACGUAGGGUGCAAGCGUUAAUCGGAAUUACUGGGCGUAAAGCGUGCGCAGGCGGUUUUGGAAGACUGCCGUGAAAUCCCCGGGCUUAACCUGGGAAUGGCGAUGGUGACUGCAAGGCUAGAGUUUGGCAGAGGGGGGUAGAAUUCCACGUGUAGCAGUGAAAUGCGUAGAUAUGUGGAGGAACACCGAUGGCGAAGGCAGCCCCCUGGGUCAACACUGACGCUCAUGCACGAAAGCGUGGGGAGCAAACAGG
rnacentral:rRNA from 1 species